rnacentral:tRNA from 1 species
CAAAAAAUAGUUUAAUUAAAAUUUUAACUUUGGAAGUUAGAGAUGGGAAUGGCCCUUUUUUGA